rnacentral:sRNA from 1 species
AAAAUACUAAAAGUAAGAGCAUAGUUAUGUCAACUUAUGAUAAACUCAGAAGAUACUAUUUACUGUAUCAAACGCGCGGAUUAAAAUGUGACGGUUGCAAUCUUGGUCGUGACUACUAUAGUAUUGGUCAUCGCUGUUUUCGUUCUGGACUCUUCUUCCACAACGAGUGCGCCGAAUCCAGUGUAGAGAUUCACAACCUCUAUCAUCCACAACAUUCUCUCCACAUCAAAGUACUUAAACAAAAUGAAGAUGUCCAUGGAGAAUGCAAGCUAUGUAGAGGUAACUUGGCAAAAAUAUAUUACCAAUGUUCAACAUGUGAUUUUGCCAUCGAUUUAAUAUGUGCAAGAAAAAAAGUUGUGGCAACAAUUGAGGUUCCAAAGACCCAUGACCACCCUUUAUCCCUUAUUCCAAA